AUGGGGUCUCUACCUGGCCGGUGCCACGUUGUCUGCUUUUUUACUGCACGUGUGGUGACGAAGAAAAGGAAAAAGAUAACCUCCAUGUUGAAUAUACCUGCCUUCCAGCCUCUUGGUGUGUUUCCAGUCUACAAGGAUUCUCUUAAUAUUUCCAAGUGAUUUGCAAGCAGAAAACUAAAAGGUGACUUUGUUUUCCAAUCGCAUAUUUAUCUAUUUAGAUAGUCGUUAGCAUAGUAUUCAAAAGCCAUCUGAGAAUGACUUUGCGUGACUAAAAACAAAGAAGGAAAGAUGUCAAACCUCAAUACACAAGCAUGAGCCUUCUUUUCAUUGCAGGCCACACAGAGGAACACCACAAUUUUUCUUAGUAUUGAAGUUCAGCUCAACCUCAACCAAUCUUUAACUGUGUAUCAUAGAGAUUUUUUUUUCAUAGAAAACAAUUUCCAGUUUACAGAAAGAAAUGUCAGACUCAGUCUAUCAGAGCUUUAGAAUUAACAAGGAAGAUGAACAACACAGUAUAAGCAAAAUUGCUCGUUUUUGUAAGCUAACUGCAACCACACAGAUGAGAAAGUCUUCCAUUGAUAUGAUGGCUAUCAUGCAUAUAGUUUUAUAUGUUUCUAAGAAUUGAAAGUAGAACUAUCAGAACUUCAGAUACAUUUUGAAGAGAUAAUGUUAUUUAUUUAUUUUGAGACAGGGUCUUGGCUCUGUCAUUCAGGCUGAAGUGCAAUAGCAAGAUCACAGCUCAUUGCAGCCUCGACCACCCGGGUUCAAGUGAUCCUUCCACCUUAGCCUCCUGAGUAGCUGAGACUACAGACACUUGCCACGAUGCCUGGCUAAUUUUUAAAUUUUUUGUAGACACGGGAGUCUCACUAUGUUGCCCAAGGCUGAUGUCGAACUCCUGGGCUCAAGCAAUCCUCCUGCCUUAGCCUCCCAAAGUGCUGGGAUUAUAGGCAUGAGCCACCACUCCUGGCAAGGAGAUAAUUUUAUUUAUUUAUUUAUUUAGUUAGUUAGUUAGUUAUUUUUUGAGACGGAGUCUUGCUCUGUCACCCAGGCUGGAGUGCACUGGUGCCAUCUCAGCUCACUGCAACCUCUGGCUCCCAGGCUCAAGUGAUUUGCCUGCCUCAGCCUCCUGAGUAGCUGGGAUUACAGGUGUGCACCAACAUGCCCAGCUUUUUAUUGUAUUUUUAGUAGAGAUGGGGUUUCAACAUGUUGGCUAAGCUGGUCUCAAACUCCUGACCUCAGGUGAUCUGCCUGCCUCAGUCUCCCAAAGUGCUGGGAUUACAGGUAUGAGCCACCAUGCCUGGCCAAGGAGAUAAUUUUAAGUGAUCAGAAUUUUUGGAGGCAUAUCAUACAUGUACGCGUAUGAUCUCUGAAAACUGUUUUAAAGAUAAAGUCAGCAAAGUACAGCCUGUUGGCCAAAUCUGACCCACCACCUGUUCUUGUAAUGCUGUGAACUAAGAAUAGUUUUUGCAUUUUUAAAUUUUAAAAGGUUGAAAAAAUCAAAAGAAGAAUAAAAUUUUAUAAUAUGUGAAAAUUAUCUGAAUUUCAAAUGUCAGUGUCCAUAAAUAAGGUUUUAUUGAAGCACAGCUCACCCAUCCGUUAUGUACCAGCUGCGUUCAUGCUAUAAUAGCAGAGCUGAGUAGUUAUGACAGAGACUUUCUGGCCAAGAAAGCCUAAUGUACUUACUAGUUGGCUCUUUCCAGAGACUGUUUGUCAACCCUGUUUUAAGAGCUUUCCUCUAAAGAAACACAAGCCUUUAGUAAACUGAAGACUUCUUCAUAAAGAUUUUCUGUGUCAGUGAUACAUUAUGUUAAGAAAAGAAAAUGCAUGAAUUUAGUAAAGAUAACAUUGAUAUUAUAGACUAAAACAAUAGGCAUGACUUUAAUUAUAUUUAGGAUGCUUAUUUUCCCACCUUAUUUCAGUAGCAUAGUUAUAAGAACACAUGCUUUAGGGUGAUCAUUCUUUUUUCUUGAAUUUUGUUGAGCUUUGCAUGACCUUGGACUAGUUACCUAACCUCUUGUAAGCCUCAGGUUUCCUACAAGAACAGAAUAAUAGCAAUACCAACCUCAUGGGAGUGUGGUAAGUACCAAAAUGGGUAAGUGGGGCAUUUUUGGGAGGGAAUUACUUAGCUUGUUAUCUGGUAGUAGGUGUGCAAUAGAUUAUAAUUAUCAUCAUUCUCUGAAAAUGUCAUUUUUGCUUUCUGGUGCUCCAUUUCUAGUACUGCCUGUAAGGUCUAUUUUGACAAGGAAAUCUGUAAGAACCUGCCAACAUCAUUUUGCAUAGCAAGAGCCCUUCUCUGUGUUACAAUCUGGACAAAAACUGUCCUCAGUUGCAUGAAUCCAAGAAUACACUUGACAGAAGAAUGGAAAAAAGGAAGCCUAGGAAGUCUAGAAACAAAAAUCAUCGUGAUGAGCAGUGCUGGAAGGCUGGUCAGCAGCCAGAGUACAGCUUGUGAGCAGCAUAUUGGGAUUUUUUUUUUUUUUUCCAUGUUAGACUCUAUUCCAACUCUUUCUAUGGAGAGUCCACGGUUUUGUGAUGGGUUGUUGAUGAAGGAAAGCUCUGAAUUUUUUAGAGUGGAUGAAGUGUUUGUCAUUUUAUUCCAUUUUAUGUUAGGUUAACACUGCCAUUUUUCUUUUAUUAUUCGAUGUCUUAGCUGAUGUCUCCCAGGCGAAAAGUACCCAGAAAAUCAUGAGAGUGCAGUUCCUGGAAACUCAGUGUUUUCUUUCUCGCUGGGCUUGCUCUGCCUUUAGAAUUGUUGUGACUCUGGAUUCCUGCAGAGGAACUAGGGCCUGGGGUGACCUCAUGGCUCCUCAGCUAUGAUGCACCUUCUCUUUUCUUCCCUUAUCUCAAGUAGGUCCUGAGCAGCACAGCCCAGGUGGUCUCUUCUGCUCACCAGGGGUGGCCUGGAGUCAAUUGAUAAGAGCCCUCUUUUCUUGGCCCUUACAAAACAAAUUUCUGCCUAAAGACAACUAAAGGGAAGAAAAACACCACCAAACCAACAACUCCUUUGUACUUCCAUUAUCCCCAAAAUUAGAUAAAGAAAAAUUAGAAUACCAGGAGGCAGCAGACACCUCCACAAUGCAGCUUGGAAACAGAAUUUCUAUAGAUCUGCUGUCCUUUUUUUUAAAUCACAUAGAAGAGUUUGUACAAAUCUCAUUUGUUUUCACUUACUUCAUUUUUGUGUCUUGACACAUUAUUUUGAGGAAAAUGCCUCUGAAUUUUAUCCUUGCUCUUCAAUUACGGUUGAACAGGAACUGUUAAUUGAGUUUAGCCACUCAAAAGAAGAACAAAGUAUUUUAUCAUUCUUACAUAUUCUGGUUGGACUCAUGGUUAAAGAAGACAAAUAGAAACACUCACACAUCAGCCUGGUGUGGGGAUAAAACCAAAAACAGUGAUGCUCACAGGCAUGCCUGAGAGUGGAAUGGUGGUGGUGGGGGGGUGCCUGUUUACUGGUAGUAGGAGUAACUCUCGUCAUCAUAUUCUAGCUCAUCUACGUCAUCAUCAUCCAGCAGCCCAUACUUAAAUUUCCGGUAGACUGUGCCAUCCUGGCCCAUGUAGACGAUGUCAUCAUCAUCAUCCUCAUCAUAGUCCCGAUCCCUGUACUCAAUCACCUGAUCCUCUUCAAAGCUGGUGCUCUCUCGAUAGCUGCUCUUAUAGGAGGAGUAAGACUUGUUGGGGUCGGCCAGUUUUUCAUAGCCGGCCCUUGCUGCUGGCUGGGCUCGGCCGCGAGAUUUCUUCCACACUACCACAGCUGCCCCGAGCAGAAGCACCAGCAUCAUGGAGGAGGUGAUGAACAGAGCUGUCUUGAAAUGCUCAGUUGCAGUCCUAACCUUGCUUGUUCGAAGGAUGCAUUCGUCUGUUGGAAGAAAACCCCAAAGGAAGAGGCAAGAGGGAAAGAGUGGAAGAAAUAGAAUAGAGAAAAUUAGUUUCUGAGAGACAGCAUCUCACUAUGUUGCCCUGGCUGGCCUCAAACUCUUGGGCUCAAGAGAUCCUCCCACCUUGGUCUCCCAAAGUGCUGGGAUUACAGACGUGAGCCACCGCACCCAGCCUGUCUCUGAUUUUCCUAGUGAUUUGCAAGCAGUAUGCCUUCCUAGAAGGCAUGCCAUUGUAUAAAAUUGGAGUAUGUACCCCGUGAGAAUCCUAGCCUAUGUCUGAUGAAGCCAAUAAAUCCUUCUAGAAAGAAGGUCAGUUUGCCAUCCAAAGGGAGUUCCCUUACCCCCAUACC